GACGAACGCUGGCGGCGUGCUUAACACAUGCAAGUCGAACGGUGAAGCGCCUUCCUUUUUGGUGGGUGUGGAUGAGUGGCGAACGGGUGAGUAACACGUGAGUAACCUGCCCCCUUCUUCUGGAUAACCGCAUGAAAGUGUGGCUAAUACGGGAUAUUCUGUGUCUGUCGCAUGAUGGGUCUGGGAAAGAUAUUGUUUCGGUGUGGGAUGGGCUCGCGGCCUAUCAGCUUGUUGGUGGGGUGAUGGCCUACCAAGGCGGUGACGGGUGGCCGGCCUGAGAGGGUGGACGGUCACACUGGGACUGAGACACGGACCAGACUCCUACGGGAGGCAGCAGGGAGGAAUAUUGAACAAUGGGCGCAAGGCUGAUGCAGCGACGCCGCGUGAGGGAUGGAGGCCUUCGGGUUGUGAACCUCUUUCGCCAGUGAAGCAGGCCUGCCUCGUUUGUGGGUGGGUUGACGGUAGCUGGAUAAGAAGCGCCGGCUAACUACGUG
rnacentral:rRNA from 1 species